GGUGUAGGCGAGAAGUCUAGCAGACCGCGCCAGCUCCAGUCGAGUGCACCUGAAGUAAAGUCCACUGAAACAGCCGGUAAGAAGACAAAACCAGCUAAAAGGAAAGACACCAGGGACUCAAAAAGUUUUAAAAGGAAGGAUUCUAGGUCUACUCUGGUGUGCGAUUCCAUAGCCAAGCAUGUUAAAACUAUUAGAAGGUGUCACUUGCAAGCCUUUCCUGGAGCAAAUAUUUGGGACAUAAUAAAUUUGCUUAAUUGUGGAACAAUUCAGGUAAAUUAUGAUAUAAUUCUGGUGCAUGUAGGAACCAAUAAUGUUGGUACCUAUGAGGUUGCUGAUUUUGAUAUAGCCUAUAACGUGCUUAUCUCUACAAUUGAGAAAUUAGUUAAGCCACAUACUGUAAUAGUUAUGUCAGCAAUUAUUCCACGUUUACUUGAUUUUCAGAAUACAUGUUAUUUUGUCACCACUAUUAAUUCUAGAUUAAGAAGUUUAUGCUUUAAACGUGGUGUUCAGUUUGUAGCUACUUAUAAACCUUUUUUGAAGUUUGGGAUGCAAGUUUGUGAACUUUAUUCACCCAUCUGUAAGUUACAUUUGAAUUAUUUUGGUAAUUUAAAGUUGACUAAUUUUUUUGUUCAAGUAUUGGCUCAUUGUUAAACAAGAGGAUGUUUAGUCUCAUCUUGUUACUGUUAAACAGAAGGAGCAAUCUUAUUCUGUACCAAUUUUGUUUAAUUGUGCUUACAGUAGUGGGUGAUUUGUAUAUAUCCUUAAUGGGUUAUUUUGUUUUCUGACCAUUCUUGUCAGAAAGAUCUGACCAUUCAUGUCAGUAGUAUUUUUUGAUAUCUGACCAUUCAUGUCGGUAUUAUCAUAUUUUUGUUAGAAAUAUCUGACCAUUCAUGUCAGUGAUAUUUUUUGAUUUCUGACCAUUCAUGUCGGUAUUAUUAUUAUUUUUGUUUUCAUUCUGAUCUUUGUAUAAGGUGAAACAUGGCUUUAUGAGCCCGGUAACUUAAAUAGCUUUUAAAUUUUGUUUAUUAUCAAUCAAUGUGCUUUGUUCUCUGUUUGGCCGUUGGUUUUUUGGUGCUGAACAUUGAUUGAAUUAACUUUAACGUCUAUUAUUGUUUUUUCAUAUGAAAUUGUAAUAAUUUGCCAAAACUAAAUGUUUUAAUUUAAUUCGCUUUAAUUAUUUCUUAGCAUUUAAUUAGUAUUGCUUUGCAUCCAGUCGUCUCAUGGUUUAUAUAUCUGCGUCUAUUUACUUCGAAAGAGCAAAUUGUGCUAUUUUUAAUUAAUUAAAAAUAUAUAAUUUGCGACUAGAGAUUAAAGAAAUAGACUUUAUACUGUUCGAUUUAUUUCGGUUCUUUACAUUUAGCUAAUGAUACAACUUGUUAUGAAUUUUAUAAUAAACAAUGAAUUUUGAUUGGUUCCUUUAUAGACUUGCGAUUUAAAGGAAUUAAAAGUUUUUCAUUCUACCGUUGAUAGCCGAAAACUUACCCUCCCAUUAUUGCUCCCACCCAAUAUUUAUGAUCAGUAGUUUUAUUCUCAUUUUCUGUGGAAGUUUUAUUUUUCAGCGUUUGUUCCUUGCUGAUUUGUUACUGUGAAUAGACGAAUUUACAAUGUAAUUGAGUGAUUAAAGGACGAUCGAGCAACAUAGUUAAUAACUGAUAAAUUGGAUUCGGAUUAAUUCGCAAUGAAUUCAGACGUUUCAGAUUUAUUGUUACCCGCUGGAUAUAGACGUGUGAGCAAAGUGUUGUUGAUAAAUGGUGCUGAACAUUGAUUGAAUUAACUUUAACGUCUAUUAUUGUUUUUUCAUAUGAAAUUGUAAUAAUUUGCCAAAAUUAAAUGUUUUAAUUUAA